CCACGUUCGGAUUGUAGUCUGCAACCCGACUACAUGAAGCUGGAAUCGCUAGUAAUCGCGGAUCAGAAUGCCGCGGUGAAUACGUUCCCGGGUCUUGUACACACCGCCCGUCACACCAUGGGAGUCGGAUAUGCCCGAAGUCAGUGACCCAACCGCAAGGAGGGAGCUGCCGAAGGUGGAGCCGAUGACUGGGGUGAAGUCGUAACAAGGUAGC
rnacentral:rRNA from 1 species